GGUUUUGAGACCCGAAGGCCCGAGGCUGUAGCAUCUUGAGCGUAGUGAGGGUGCUACUAAGCGCCUAAGGGUUGGUUGAAAAUGGUAGCCUCUAUAAAUAACAAGAAGCACACCAAAGCUGCUGAUGCAGCUGACUGGAGGAUACGUGUGCGCAGCGAUGAGGAGAAAUCAAGAAUCCUCGAAGAUUGCCAUGCCAGACGCUUCCUCCUCUCACAAGCCAGACGUCCCCUCUUCUCACAAGCCAGAUGCCCUCUCCUCUCACAAGCCAGAUGCUCCCUCCUCUCGCAAGCGAGACGCCCCCUUCUAUCGUUAAGCUGCAUCCUCUAUGGAGCCACCUUUGAAGAAGCAAAGGACUACUCAGUCUGUAACAAGAAAGAAUUCAAGCUACUGGGUGAAGGAUUUGGACCUGAGAACGGGAGACAAGGAUGUAAUUCUUGCUGAGAGUGGGAUGCUUUCUGACCGUCAUAUGUAUGCUGCCCACAAACUAAUGAGAAUGCAAUUUCCAAAUAUUGAAGGCUGCAUGCUACUCUACUCUUCUGGUUCAGAAGAUGUCCUUUCAUGCAGUCACUAGUAUAGUGAAGCCACAGAUAUUCUUUGUAACAGAGAGGCAUCACUGGAUUGCGACAGCACUCAUCAAGGGGGAACUUUUCCUCUUUGAUAGCUGCUUCCAAUAUGGGAAAGAACUGGAGCCAAGUGCUGAGCUGCAAAUCGCACAAAUGUAUAAGCCUUUAAUAGCCCGCACAAUGGGCUAGCUGUUACUGUCUGUGGCCUCCAUUCAACAGCAGAGCAGUGGCAGUAACAACUGUGGUUUGUUUGCAAUUGCCGCUGCAUACCACGCAUUGCAAGGAGACAAUCUGGAUACCAUCACCCUAAAUGAAGACAAAAUGAGGCCACAUGCACCUUGUGCGUUGCUUUGAAAAUGAGAAACUCAGAAGAUUUCCAAAGUCAAAAGAUGUUAGUAGCCGCAAGAGACCAGAAAGAUUUUCCAGCAUAUAUAGUAAUUACGAUAUACUGCCCUUGU